UGAUGACGAGACGCUAAGGCGUUGAAGCAGUGUAUGUCAGACUUCCAAGAAAAGCUCGCAAUGUCACAAAUAAAAAGUGCCUGUACCAUAACCGACACAGGUGGGUAGGUAGAGUAUACUAAGGGGCGCGAGAUAACUCUCUCUAAGGAACACGGCAAAAUGACUCCGUAACUUCGGGAGAAGGAGUGCCUUAUUUAUGAGGUUGCAAUAACAAGAUCCAAGCAACUGUUUAUCAAAAACACAGGUCUCCGCUAAGUCGCAAGACGAUGUAUGGGGGCUGACGCCUGCCCAGUGCCAGAAGGUUAAAGAAGUUGGUUAGUGUAUGCGAAGCUGAUGACUGAAGCCCUGGUGAACGGCGGCCGUAACGGUAACGGUCCUAAGGUAGCGAAAUUCCUUGUCGGGUAAGUUCCGACCCGCACGAAAGGCGUAAUGAUUUGGAUACUGUCUCGGAGAGAGGCUCGGUGAAAUAGACUUGUCUGUGAAGAUGCGGACUACCUGCACCAGGACAGAAAGACCCUAUGAAGCUUUACUGUAACUUGAAAUUGGAAUUGGACUUUGCUUGCGCAGUAUAGGUGGGAAGCGUUGAAAAUAUUCUUGCGGGAGUAUUGGAGCUAUCAGUGAGAUACCACUCUUGUAAUGUUAGAUUUCUAACUUUGAACCAUAAUCUGGUCAAAGAACAGUUUCAGGUGGGCAGUUUGACUGGGGCGGUCGCCUCCCAAAUGGUAACGGAGGCGUACAAAGGUUUCCUCUGAACGGAUAGAAAUCGUAUCUAGAGUGUAAAGGCAUAAGGAAGCUUGACUGUGAGACCUACAAGUCGAGCAGGGACGAAAGUCGGUCUUAGUGAUCUGACGGUACUGAGUGGAAAGGCCGUCACUCAACGGAUAAAAGUUACUCUAGGAUAACAGGCUGAUCUCCCCCAAGAGUUCACAUCGACGGGGAGGUUUGGCACCUCGAUGUCGGCUCAUCGCAUCCUGGGGCGGUAGUACGUCCCAAGGGUUGGGCUGUUCGCCCAUGAAAGCGGUACGCGAGCUGGGUUCAGAACGUCGUGAGACAGUUCGGUCCAUAUCCGGUGUAGGCGCUAGAAUAUUGAGAGGAGCCUUCUUUAGUACGAGAGGACCGAGAAGGACACACCGCUGGUGUACCAGUUAUCGUGCCAACGGUAAACGCUGGGUAGCUAUGUGUGGAGUGGAUAACCGCUGAAAGCAUCUAAGUGGGAAGCCCACCUCGAGAUGAGUAUUCUC
rnacentral:rRNA from 1 species